rnacentral:rRNA from 1 species
CUACGGGAGGCAGCAGUGGGGAAUAUUGCACAAUGGGCGCAAGCCUGAUGCAGCCAUGCCGCGUGUAUGAAGAAGGCCUUCGGGUUGUAAAGUACUUUCAGCGGGGAGGAAGGGAGUAAAGUUAAUACCUUUGCUCAUUGACGUUACCCGCAGAAGAAGCACCGGCUAACUCCGUGCCAGCAGCCGCGGUAAUACGGAGGGUGCAAGCGUUAAUCGGAAUUACUGGGCGUAAAGCGCACGCAGGCGGUUUGUUAAGUCAGAUGUGAAAUCCCCGGGCUCAACCUGGGAACUGCAUCUGAUACUGGCAAGCUUGAGUCUCGCAGAGGGGGGUAGAAUUCCAGGUGUAGCGGUGAAAUGCGUAGAGAUCUGGAGGAAUACCGGUGGCGAAGGCGGCCCCCUGGACGAAGACUGACGCUCAGGUGCGAAAGCGUGGGGAGCAAACAGGAUAGAUACCCUAGUAGUC